AUAAACACUGUGAUGGUGUUUUUGAUUACUGGGGAAAAGGAACAAUGGUGACCGUCACAUCAGCCACUUCAUCCAAACCAACCGUGUUUCCUCUGAUGCAAUGCGGGUCUGAGACUGCAAACACCGUCACUCUUGGCUGCCUUGCCACUGGCUUCUCGCCCUCCUCGGUGACCUACGCGUGGAGCAAAGCUGGAACUGCCUUGACGGACUUCAUCCAGUAUCCUCCAGUAGAGAAGAGUGGUGUUUAUACAGGAAUCAGUCAAAUCAAAGUGAACAAAGAGGACUUGGAUGCAAAGCAGCCCUUUAAAUGCAUCGCAUCAAACACAGCAGGAGACGGAGAGGGGAUUUUCAUCGUGACACUGCCGAUUUAUAAGGAGCCAACUCUUAAAGUGUUUUCCUCAUGUGAUGGGGGAGAGGAGGUUUCCUUCUCAUGCUUUGCAAAGAUUUUGCACCAAAGCAGUACGAGUUCAUGGGUUAUGGACCUUGCAUUCCUAGUGGACAUAACACAGCAGCUGAACAUCCUCAACCUGAAGCUCCAGGGUCCUGAUCAGCUCAUAACAGCAGCAUAUGAAAGUGGCACAGCAUUCAGUGGUGAUGAAUAUACCUCUGCUAUUGACAAUCUUCUGCAGGAGUUUGAUCAGCGUUUUGCUGACUUCAAGGAACACCGGGUCACUUUCCAG